rnacentral:rRNA from 1 species
GAGAACGCUGGCGGGCGUGGAUUAGGCAUGCAAGUCGAACGGUAUCAUCCUUUCGGGGGUGAGAGAGUGGCGAACUGGUGAGUAACACGUAGGUUAUCUACCCUCAAGACGGGACAACCCAGGGAAACUUGGGCUAAUACCGGAUGUGAGCAACUUUUAGUUGUUUGAAAGGUGGCGUAAGCUGUCGCUUGGGGAUGAGCCUGCGUCCUAUUAGUUAGUUGGUGAGGUAACGGCUCACCUAGGCAAUGAUAGGUAGGCGGCCUUAACGGGUGGUCGCCCACACUGGGAUUGAGAUACGGCCCAGACUCCUACGGGAGGCAGCAGUCGAGAAUAGUCUACAAUGGUCGGAAGACUGAUAGUGCGACGCCGCGUGAACGAUGAAUCCCUUCGGGGUGUAAAGUUCUUUUAUAUGUGAGCAGUGCUUCUUAUAUUAACAGUAUGGGGAGAGAGAUAUUAGCAUAUGAAUAAGCAACGGCUAACUCCGUG